rnacentral:rRNA from 1 species
GACGAACGCUGGCGGCGUGCUUAACACAUGCAAGUCGAACGGAAAGGCCCUGCUUUUGUGGGGUGCUCGAGUGGCGAACGGGUGAGUAACACGUGAGUAACCUGCCCUUGACUUUGGGAUAACUUCAGGAAACUGGGGCUAAUACCGGAUAGGAGCUCCUGCUGCAUGGUGGGGGUUGGAAAGUUUCGGCGGUUGGGGAUGGACUCGCGGCUUAUCAGCUUGUUGGUGGGGUAGUGGCUUACCAAGGCUUUGACGGGUAGCCGGCCUGAGAGGGUGACUGGCCACAUUGGGACUGAGAUACGGCCCAGACUCCUACGGGAGGCAGCAGUGGGGAAUAUUGCACAAUGGGCGGAAGCCUGAUGCAGCAACGCUGCGUGCGGGAUGACGGCCUUCGGGUUGUAAACCGCUUUCGCCUGUGACGAAGCGUGAGUGACGGUAAUGGGUAAAGAAGCACCGGCUAACUACGUG